GCUACAAGCCAGGCUAUCGAUCCUGUUAGCUUAGGCAAACAGGGUAGGAAAGUCCGGACAGCAAAGAGCAAUGCACCGGUGAAUAGCCGGGUCCUGCCGCUACUUAGGCAUCGGCAGGAACAGAAAGUGCCACAGAAAAUAACUGCCUGUUCUCUUCUUCGGAAAAGGACCGGUGAGGUUGAAAACGCAGGGUAAGAGCCUACGGCUGGUAAUGGUAACGUUAUUGGCGGGUAAACCUUGCAUGCUGAAAUGCCACGUAUAGUACCCUCGAAGGGCUGCUCGCCCAAGCUCGCCAAAAGCGGGCAGGGUACAGGGUAGGCAGAUUGAUCCCGAUAAGCAAUUAUCGGGACAGAUAAAUGAUAGCCCACGACAGAAUCCGGCUUACCGGCUUGUAGCGUUU
rnacentral:RNase_P_RNA from 1 species